rnacentral:rRNA from 1 species
GAUGAACGCUGGCGGCGUGCCUAAUACAUGCGAGUCGAGCGAACGGACGAGAAGCUUGCUUCUCUGAUGUUAGCGGCGGACGGGUGAGUAAAACGUGGAUAACCUACCUAUAAGACUGGGAUAACUUCGGGAAACCGGAGCUAAUACCGGAUAAUAUUUUGAACCGCAUGGUUCAAAAGUGAAAGACGGUCUUGCUGUCACUUAUAGAUGGAUCCGCGCUGCAUUAGCUAGUUGGUAAGGUAACGGCUUACCAAGGCAACGAUGCAUAGCCGACCUGAGAGGGUGAUCGGCCACACUGGAACUGAGACACGGUCCAGACUCCUACGGGAGGCAGCAGUAGGGAAUCUUCCGCAAUGGGCGAAAGCCUGACGGAGCAACGCCGCGUGAGUGAUGAAGGUCUUCGGAUCGUAAAACUCUGUUAUUAGGGAAGAACAUAUGUGUAAGUAACUGUGCACAUCUUGACGGUACCUAAUCAGAAAGCCACGGCUAACUACGUG